rnacentral:rRNA from 1 species
GAUGAACGCUGGCGGCGUGCCUAACACAUGCAAGUCGAACGAAGCACCUUACCUGAUUCUUCGGAUGAAAGUUUGGUGACUGAGUGGCGGACGGGUGAGUAACGCGUGGGUAACCUGCCCUGUACAGGGGGAUAACAGCUGGAAACGGCUGCUAAUACCGCAUAAGCGCACGAGGAGACAUCUCCUUGUGUGAAAAACUCCGGUGGUACAGGAUGGGCCCGCGUCUGAUUAGCUGGUUGGCAGGGUAACGGCCUACCAAGGCAACGAUCAGUAGCCGGUCUGAGAGGAUGAACGGCCACAUUGGAACUGAGACACGGUCCAGACUCCUACGGGAGGCAGCAGUGGGGAAUAUUGCACAAUGGGGGAAACCCUGAUGCAGCAACGCCGCGUGAGUGAAGAAGUAUUUCGGUAUGUAAAGCUCUAUCAGCAGGGAAGAUAAUGACGGUACCUGACUAAGAAGCUCCGGCUAAAUACGUG